GAUGAACGCUGGCGGCGUGCCUAAUACAUGCAAGUCGAGCGAACGGACGAGAAGCUUGCUUCUCUGAUGUUAGCGGCGGACGGGUGAGUAACACGUGGAUAACCUACCUAUAAGACUGGGAUAACUUCGGGAAACCGGAGCUAAUACCGGAUAAUAUUUUGAACCGCAUGGUUCAAAAGUGAAAGACGGUCUUGCUGUCACUUAUAGAUGGAUCCGCGCUGCAUUAGCUAGUUGGUAAGGUAACGGCUUACCAAGGCAACGAUGCAUAGCCGACCUGAGAGGGUGAUCGGCCACACUGGAACGGAAACACGGUCCAGACUCCUACGGGAGGCAGCAGUAGGGAAUCUUCCGCAAUGGGCGAAAGCCUGACGGAGCAACGCCGCGUGAGUGAUGAAGGUCUUCGGAUCGUAAAACUCUGUUAUUAGGGAAGAACAUAUGUGUAAGUAACUGUGCACAUCUUGACGGUACCUAAUCAGAAAGCCACGGCUAACUACGUG
rnacentral:rRNA from 1 species